UACGUAGGGUGCGAGCGUUGUCCGGAAUUACUGGGCGUAAAGAGCUCGUAGGUGGUUUGUCGCGUUGUUCGUGAAAACUCACAGCUUAACUGUGGGCGUGCGGGCGAUACGGGCAGACUGGAGUACUGCAGGGGAGACUGGAAUUCCUGGUGUAGCGGUGGAAUGCGCAGAUAUCAGGAGGAACACCGGUGGCGAAGGCGGCCCGCUGGGCAGAGACUGACGCUGAGGCGCGACAGCGUGGGGAGCAAACAGG
rnacentral:rRNA from 1 species